rnacentral:lncRNA from 7 species
UUUACUCUAGGUCUUCCUGAGAGAGUGGGCUCCAUUAUGUUCAGGAGCAGAAUGAAAAUGAAAUCAUCAUUAGAUUGAUUCGGUGUCUGAAUACACAUUGUACCAUGAGGAUCCUCUUACCCUGAGCCAAAGUCUGUCAAAGUCAAUUCCAACAGCUGAUGAGGCCCUUCAGAAGUUCAUCUCCCUUUUUCUUUCCCUGCAGAUCAGGAACAAUGUUCAGUGUACCUACACCUCCUAUUUCCAUUCAGCAGAGACUCAAUUUGCAAUUCAUCAGAAAAAGUUCAUGGAGUUUUGGACCAAUAUCACUGUAAAACUUCCAGGGUCUAACAAUGAUGAAACUCUCAGACCUCCAUCCUAUUGUUUUACUGUUCCUAAAUGAACAGUCCCAUUUACUACAAGUCUGUGAAAGAGUGUCAGGCUGCUUAAUGCCUGGGAACAAAAAAGAUGAAGUAGGGGGCAAUUAACAAAAUCAAAGAAUGUCAUAUUGCCUUGGUUUUUACUUUAUCUCACUGCUACCAGCUCUUUGUAAACCUUGAUUAGGCAGACAGCAUGUUCCUACAUGAGAAAGCAGGUUUUUUUUUUAAUUAAACACAUUCCUUUUUCAUAGUCUGCUGCAAAUUACAGCAUUGUUCAUUCUCUUUUAUGCUGAACUUAUCUCUUUUUUCAAUCAAGAGCUUUUCUUCUCAAAUUCAUAAUGUUCUCUGUAGUAUUUACCUUGUGCUGGUUGACAAGAUCAGUGUCAUAUUAAGGUUCCUUAGAUGUCCAUACGAACUCCAGUUUUGGUUAGAUUUCACAUCAGUACCCUGGCCAUUUUGCUCUUCAGUUACUCCAACAAGGAGUAUGGCCAACGGGGUACUGUGGGAAAUAUACACUAAUUAUUACCCACAGUGGUUUUUCAUACUCGAUUCAGUUUGAGUGUUUGCUUUACGAACUGGAGAAGUUUUGACAAAGCAAACAGAUCACUUGGUAUAUUUCCUGUCUUUGUUACUUUGCGGAAUCAAAUUUCUAUUGUCCAGGCUCAUUUCAAUGCAUGUGCCAUUUUAAAACUGAUGUUCAUCACACUGAUACUCAGCAGAAACUUGUGAAGCGUGUCUAUGAGGAAAAUGCUCUAGCCACCAAAUAAAUUCACUAUCAAGUGUGCAGGCUAAUGUCAGAGGAGGGAUGCCCUAAGAUUUGUGCCCUCAGUGGAGACUCUCAAACCUUGGAAGAAGUGUCAGGGCUUCCAUAGAGGUCCCCUAUUGGAUUGGGGGAUGUUGGAAGUUGUUCCUAAAGAACAUGUGUGAAAUGUGAGCAGUUUUUAAUCAGGGCAAUCUUGUAAUAUAAACAAGGGUGAAAAUAAAGUUGAGUAAUAUUUAUUACUCUGCCCUU